UGGGGAAUUUUGGACAAUGGGCGAAAGCCUGAUCCAGCAAUGCCGCGUGCAGGAUGAAGGCCUUCGGGUUGUAAACUGCUUUUGUACGGAACGAAAAGCUCUGGGCUAAUAUCCCGGAGUCAUGACGGUACCGUAAGAAUAAGCACCGGCUAACUACGUGCCAGCAGCCGCGGUAAUACGUAGGGUGCAAGCGUUAAUCGGAAUUACUGGGCGUAAAGCGUGCGCAGGCGGUUAUGUAAGACAGAGGUGAAAUCCCCGGGCUCAACCUGGGAACUGCCUUUGUGACUGCAUGGCUAGAGUACGGUAGAGGGGGAUGGAAUUCCGCGUGUAGCAGUGAAAUGCGUAGAUAUGCGGAGGAACACCGAUGGCGAAGGCAAUCCCCUGGACCUGUACUGACGCUCAUGCACGAAAGCGUGGGGAGCAAACA
rnacentral:rRNA from 1 species